AGAGACCCCUGUCAAGCUUCGGUGACUGGGGCUGAAGCGUUCCAGGGUCCCUGAUUGUGGCUAGGAAGCGGAGUGGGCGAAGGUACUCAGUCAGAGGUCGAGAGCUCUGUCACUGUGGAAAUGAACAAGUAGAAUCUUGCUCUUAUCUGGAUUCAAGAUCAUGAUGACCCCUUCUUUUUUUUUUUUUGUACCUUCUUUUAUUACUAGUCUUAACAGUCCAGUUUUUCUGUAUUAAAUACUGGUAUUGUGCCCUCACUCAGAUUCUGUUGUAUGUAAAUAUAACAUACAUGAGACGUAUUGUUAU